rnacentral:rRNA from 1 species
UACGUAGGCAGCGAGCGUUGUUCGGAGUUACUGGGCGUAAAGAGUGCGUAGGCGGUUUUCUAAGUUUGGUGUGAAAUCUCCCGGCUUAACUGGGAGGGUGCGCCGAAAACUGGAAGGCUUGAGUAUGGGAGAGGUAAGCGGAAUUCCUGGUGUAGCGGUGAAAUGCGUAGAUAUCAGGAAGAACACCCGUGGCGAAGGCGGCUCUCUGGAACGCAACUGACGCUGAGACGCGAAAGCGUGGGGAGCAAACAGG